rnacentral:rRNA from 1 species
AUGAACGCUGGCGGCAUGCUGUACACAUGCAUAGUCGAACGUCAGCACGGGGUGCUUGCACAUGGUGGCGAGUGGCGAACGGAUGAGUAAUGCAUCGGAACGUAUCCAAUAAUGGGGGAUAACGCAUCGAAAGGUGUGCUAAUACCGCAUACGCCCUGAGGGGGAAAGUGGGGGACCGUAAGGCCUCACGUUAAUGGAGCGGCCGAUGUCAGAUUAGCUAGUUGGUGAGGUAAAGGCUCACCAAGGCGACGAUCUGUAGCUGGUGUGAGAGGAUGAUCAGCCACACUGGGACGGAGACACGGCCCAGACUCCUACGGGAGGCAGCAGUGGGGAAUUUUGGACAAUGGGGGCAACCCUGAUCCAGCCAUGCCGCGUGAGUGAAGAAGGCCUUCGGGUUGUAAAGCUCUUUCGCAAGGGAAGAAAACUUAGAUCCUAAUACGGUCUGAGGAUGACGGUACCUUGAUAAGAAGCACCGGCUAACUACGUGCCAGCAGCCGCGGUAAUACGUAGGGUGCGAGCGUUAAUCGGAAUUACUGGGCGUAAAGCGUGCGCAGGCGGUUUCGUAAGUCAGAUGUGAAAGCCCCGGGCUCAACCUGGGAACUGCGUUUGAAACUGCGAGGCUAGAGUGUGUCAGAGGGGGGUAGAAUUCCACGUGUAGCAGUGAAAUGCGUAGAGAUGUGGAGGAACACCGAUGGCGAAGGCAGCCCCCUGGGAUAACACUGACGCUCAUGCACGAAAGCGUGGGGAGCAAACAGGAUUAGAUACCCUGGUAGUCUACGCCCUAAACGAUGUGAACUGGACGUUGGGCACAUGAAG